UACGUAGGACCCAAGCGUUGUCCGGAUUUACUGGGUGUAAAGGGUGCGCAGGCGGAUGGGUAAGUCAGAGGUGAAAGUCUGCAGCUUAACUGUAGAAUUGCCUUUGAUACUGUUCAUCUUGAGUGUGGGAGAGGUUGAUGGAAUUCCAGGUGUAGCAGUGAAAUGCGUAGAUAUCUGGAAGAACACCAGUGGCGAAGGCGGUCAACUGGCCCAUAACUGACGCUCAUGCACGAAAGCGUGGGUAGCGAACAGG
rnacentral:rRNA from 1 species